UACGUAGGGGGCAAGCGUUGUCCGGAAUCAUUGGGCGUAAAGAGCGUGUAGGCGGCCAGAAAAGUCCGCUGUGAAAACUCGAGGCUCAACUUCGAGCUGUCGGUGGAAACUUUCUGGCUAGAGUCCGGAAGAGGAGAAUGGAAUUCCUGGUGUAGCGGUGAAAUGCGCAGAUAUCAGGAAGAACACCCGUGGCGAAGGCGGUUCUCUAGUACGUGACUGACGCUGAGACGCGAAAGCGUGGGGAGCGAACAGG
rnacentral:rRNA from 1 species